rnacentral:rRNA from 1 species
UACGUAGGGGGCAAGCGUUGUCCGGAUUCAUUGGGCGUAAAGAGCGUGUAGGCGGCCAGGUAGGUCGGUUGUGAAAACUGGAGGCUCAACCUUCAGACGUCGACCGAAACCAUCUGGCUAGAGUCCGGGAGAGGAGAGUGGAAUUCCUGGUGUAGCGGUGAAAUGCGCAGAUAUCAGGAGGAACACCGAUGGCGAAGGCAGGUCUCUGGGCCACUACUGACGCUGAGAAGCGAAAGCAUGGGGAGCGAACAGG